rnacentral:misc_RNA from 1 species
GUGAAGAACGUAGCGAAAUGCGAUAAGUAGUGUGAAUUGCAGAAUUCAGUGAAUCAUCGAAUCUUUGAACGCACAUUGCGCCCCUUGGUAUUCCAUGGGGCAUGCCUGUUCGAGCGUCAUUUGUACCUUCAAGCUUUGCUUGGUGUUGGGUGUUUGUCCAUUCUCUUGCAGAGGGACUCGCCUUAAAGUAAUUGGCAGCCAGUGUUUUGGUUUUGAAGCGCAGCACAAGUCGCGAUUCAAAGCUAUACGCCCGCUUCCACAAGCCUUUUUCACUUUUGACCUCGGAUCAGGUAGGGAUACCCGCUGAACUUAAGCAUAUCAAUAAGCGGAGGA